rnacentral:lncRNA from 1 species
CUGAAGAGCAAGCGAGUGGGAAGGUUCAGAGCAGAACCAAAGCACCCCAGCAUCCAAAAUGCAAUGCACAAAGCAACACAGGUUGCUGCCAGGCCCAUAAGGCACCCAGCACCUGAGAAAGCAUCUCUAGGAGGAUGAAAAAUGGGGCCAGAGCAGCUCCAAGCCAGCAGGACAAUGCAUGGGGGGCGGGAGGCGAGCGCAGCUCUCGGGAUCCAUCUCGCCCGCCCCGGUUCCAAACCCCACGGCCUCAUCCAUGCGGCACUCCUGAGUUAUUCCAGUCCGGGGUCCCUCCGAGCCGCCCAGAGCAUCGCAACAGGAAAGAAAGAAAGCACGAGAGGGAGAGCGAGGCAGAGUCCUCACAAUCGAGCAGCGAGAAGAGCAAGGAGGAAUUAACAUCCAAUUAGCGCCGUGUUUAACGAGGGAGACAGAGGCGGCUGUUGUUUUAUUGCCCUGUUCUUUUCAGGCACGUCUGACAGGCAGCGGGGAAGGCACCCCAGCUCCAAGUGACGUCACCAUAUUUUAUUUUGUUAUAUGUUUUCUGUUUUGUUUUUCUCCUUUUCCCCCCCUUCUUUCCUCUUCCAAGUUGCAAGGCGAGGUCUCGGCAGCGUGGCCAGGGCGACGCGGGGCUUCGGGCCGACGGCUCCGGCCUCCAUCCCCCCCCCCAUCCCCAGCAAAACAAGCACCGACCCCGGCCCGAAGUCUUUGUUCUUCCGAACGAUUAAAAAAAAAGAAAAAAAAGAAAAAAAAGAAAAUAAACAUUCAGGUCGACCCGGAGGGAGCCCGGAGGAGGGUCCUGCGCUCGGCCCGUCCCUGCGUCCAUCUCGCUGCCGUUCCUCUCCCCAGCCCGGCUCUCUCGGCUUGUAAAACUUUGCUGCAUGUGACGCUGCUCCCAACCUCCUUUGGCAGAGUGACAAGAACGGCGCUGCCGGGAUCGGAGAGCGCAGGCGGCUUUUAAGGAAGAAACUCAAUUCGCCCAGAUUACAGAAUUAGGGAUGUUUUAAUCAAGGGACCGCGUGGGGCUGCCAGCGGGCGGCCGGG